GCGCACCAGGCGAGAAACCUUCGCAAUGCGGGAAACCGCGACGAGGGGCUCCCAGUGCCUACGCUCAGCGUAGGCUGUUCCCGAGCCUAGAAAGCUCGGGGAGUAAGGGCUGGGUAAGACGGGUGCCAGCCGCCGCGGUAAUACCCGCAGCCCGAGUGGUGGCCACUAUUAUUGGGCCUAAAGCGUCCGUAGCCGGCCCGGUAAAUGCCUGGGUAAAUCGUGAGGCCUAACUUCACGAAUUCCGGGUAGACUGCCGGGCUAGGGACCGGAGGAGGGAGAGGGUACUCCAGGGGUAGGGGUGAAAUCCUGUAAUCCCUGGAGGACCACCGGUGGCGAAGGCGCUCUCCUAGGACGGGUCCGACGGUGAGGGACGAAAGCCAGGGGAGCGAACCGGAUUAGAUACCCCCGUAGU
rnacentral:rRNA from 1 species